rnacentral:snRNA from 1 species
UUCUUCACUAAAAUUAUCAUCUU